GAUCAGCACAUGUGAGGUCACAUGUGGGGUUCCCCAAGGCUCCUCCUAGGACUCCUCUGAUUCAAUAUCUGAGCUCCCACCGGCCCAGGUUGCAACAGGGUCUCAGCAGGUCGGCCCAGUUCGGCCCAGUCCGCCACAAAUCUGUCGAUGAGCCAGGAAUCCACAAGCGGCAGAAAUCCUGUUAUCACCGCUGAGAUAAACUGGACCGAUGGAUCAGAACCAGAAUCCGAGAGUCGAUAGAUGCUCAGAAAUGUGUUGCUAUGGCGACGGCUCGUCCAGCAUCACCAUGGCAACACAGAGCCCCUCCCUCCCGUGACGUUCUGCUUCAGGUGACCCGACCAGAACCUUCCUCUGACGUUCCGGUUCCGACUCGAGCAGCUCCAUCCUCAGCUGCGGACCGGAGCCGGUUCUGACCUGCAGACGGUUCGGUGACAUUUCCGAGAGACCGGUUCCGUUCCGGAUCCACUGCAGAACCAGAACCGGAGAGCUUUCCGGGAAAAAUGAUGUCCGACUUCCGCGUCGUUUCCGGUGGCGAGACCCAGCGUCACUGCAGUUCCUGUUCUGACCGACAGGGGGAGGAAAAACACUCAUGAUGCAAUCAGACUUUCCAGCUCAGCCUGUUCCUGAUUCUUUAGCGGAACAGAAGACCCACUGAUGAAGGUAAAGAUGAUGAAGAUCUCAAGCCCAGUUCCUGAAAAUCAGGCCCACAGCAUGAUCAUCCCUCCACCAAACUUUAGACACAAUGCAGUCCUACGUUCAACCAAUCUUUAUUUUAU